CUUGUUGUUGACUUUACGAAAGUUUCUUGACUUUUAAUUUUUAUUUAUUUUUGUCUUAAAUGUAAGAUUUUUCGUGAAUAAAAUUGUUUUUAAAUAAGGCUUUGUGCCUAAGUUGCAGUAAGUAGACUUAUUUAAUUUUAAAAAUUUAAGAAAUAGCAAAUUUUAAAAGUGCAAACAAAAUUUGUGCCAGCAGUUGCGGUUAAACAGAUUGUGCAAUAAAAAAAUUUUUUGGAUUUUGGUUAUUUUAUUUUUUUUUUUAAAAAAAUUUUUUAUUAAGUGAAAUUUUAAAUUUUGGAAAUUUUAUUUUUUUUAGAUGAGGCCAGAAAAUUUUAUUUUAAAACUAGGAUUAGAUACCCUAUUAUGAAAGUGUGAUUUUUAAUUCUUUAUUAGUAUUAGUUAGGUUCUUGAAAAUAAAAAGAGUUGGCGGUAUCUUAGUCUAUUUAGAGGAACCUGUCCUAUAAAUGAUAUUCCACGAUUAGUUUUACUUAUUAUUUAAGUUUGUAUAUCGCCGUGGUUUUGAAUAUUCUUUAAGGAUUUUAAUAUUCUUAAUUUGAAUGUAAAGUAUAGCAGGUCAAGAUGUAGCUUAUGAAUAAGGAGAGGUGGGUUACAGUUAAAUUAGUGUGUGGAUUUUGUUAUUUAUUUGCAAAUGAAAGUGGAUUUAAUAGUAAUUUUUUAUAUAUUUUAAAUUUGAUUAAAGCUCUAAGAUAUGUACAUAUCGCCCGUCGCUUUCACUAUAAAGUGGAAUAAGUCGUAACAAAGUAGAUGUACUGGAAAGUGUCUCUAGAAGCCAGGU
rnacentral:ncRNA from 1 species